rnacentral:rRNA from 1 species
UAACUGACGCUGAGGCACGAAAGCGUGGGGAUCAAACAGGAUUAGAUACCCUGGUAGUCCACGCCGUAAACGAUGAUGACUAACCGCCGGUCCGAUAGGGUCGGUGGCCAAGCGAAAGCGAUAAGUCAUCCACCUGGGGAGUACGACCGCAAGGUUGAAACUCAAAGGAAUUGACGGGGGCCCGCACAAGCGGAGGAACAUGUGGUUUAAUUCGAUGAUACGCGAGGAACCUUACCCGGGCUCGAACGGCAAGUGAAGAGAGACAGAGAUGUUGACGUCCUUCGGGACACUUGUCGAGGUGCUGCAUGGUUGUCGUCAGCUCGUGCCGUGAGGUGUCGGCUCAAGUGCCAUAACGAGCGCAACCCCUGCUUCCAGUUACCAGCGCGUAAAGGUGGGGACUCUGGAGGGACUGCCACCGCAAGGUGAGAGGAAGGGGAGGAUGACGUCAAAUCAGCACGGCCCUUACGUCCGGGGCGACACACGUGUUACAAUGGCGGCCACAGAGGGAAGCUACCCUGCGAGGGGAUGCGGAUCCCGAAAAGCCGUCUCAGUUCGGAUCGGAGUCUGCAACUCGACUCCGUGAAGCUGGAUUCGCUAGUA